rnacentral:rRNA from 1 species
UACGUAGGGGGCAAGCGUUGUCCGGAAUCAUUGGGCGUAAAGAGCGCGUAGGCGGCCCGGUAAGUCCGCUGUGAAAGUCAAAGGCUCAACCUCUGAAUGUCAGCGGAUACUGCCGGGCUAGAGUCCGGAAGAGGCGAGUGGAACUCCUGGUGUAGCGGUGGAAUGCGCAGAUAUCAGGAAGAACACCAACGGCGAAGGCAGCUCGCUGGGACGGAACUGACGCUGAGGCGCGAAAGCGUGGGGAGCAAACAGG